rnacentral:tRNA from 1 species
UGAGGUAUAGUUCAAGUGGUACAGCACGUGCUUGGCAUACACAAGGUCCUGGGUUCAACCCCCAGUACCUCCU